CCCCACUCAGCAACAGCAAGGAGCAGGAGGAGCUCAUGCAACAGCUCACUGAGUUUCAGGUGGAUGAGAUCUACACAGUGCCUGAUGGGGGACAGUGGUGGGAGGAACUCUAUACAGUGGUAUCUGUCGUGAGGGGGAG